GAUGGUGGCCAAGCGCUGGGUUGGUGAGGUGCCGGCGGAAGGAUGAGAAUCCACAUCUCAACCUGACAGUGAGAAAAUACGCAGGAAACACUUAUUUCUCUAUGAAAAUAUGAGUCUGAAGAAAGUCAAGAGACUCUACAAACAUUUCUGCAGCCCUCUAUUGGAGAUUUGCAAAGGUCUGCAUGUGCACCCCUUUGGACGUCAAGGGCUUACUGAAUACCAUUUCCACACGGUCUAUCGCUAUGUCAGAGGGCAACUGCUCCACCAUCAUUUCUG
rnacentral:lncRNA from 1 species